AUGGCACAUGUAUACAUAUGUAACUAAACUGCACGUUGUGCACAUAUGCCCUAAAACUUAAAGUACAAAAAAAAGUCAUCAAACAGGUGGUAAUUUUAAAACAUGUCUUUUCCAGGCAGCAAAUUUUCUGAAUGUAUCGCAAAAGAAGAUAAAUUGUGUGUCUAUGUAGAUCAUGUCAAUGAAAUAAACAAUAAAGGUUACUUAUUGGAAUAUUGAAAGUGGUUGAUAAUAAAUUAAUUACUUAUAUUUAUGGUAAAAGCAAUAAACUUGAUUUUUAGGGGGUUCAAUGACUUCCUGAAAAUAUCCUCUCACAGAUUUUCUCAGAGUGUCUAGUUGGCAAAAGCACAGCUCCAAAUAGCUAUUUCUGUCAAUGUCUACAGAAUAUUUACAGUUCGGUUUCCAAAAGUUUCCAUUUAUACUGACCUUACAAAUUUGUAAAAUGAAUGCCCAACAGGAAAAAAUAUUAAAUGAUAAAAUUAAUUGGAUCCUACAAGUGAAAAUCUAGGCAAGGAAAAUCUUCCUUCUUAAUGAAUGAUUUUUACGUCUCUUCAUUCUUGUCCUUCUAGGUAGAGCAACACUCUGGAGACCUUCUUUUGAGGCAUUUCACCACCAGAGUAAGUGUGAUGUAUGAAUAAUUAGUCCACCCACAGGCAGCUGGUGAAAUUGAAUUGGAAGUUAUUUCUUAACUGGCAUAUCUUGGAGUAAAAUUCAU
rnacentral:lncRNA from 1 species